rnacentral:rRNA from 1 species
UCGCCCUUCCUACGGGAGGCAGCAGUGGGGAAUAUUGCACAAUGGGCGCAAGCCUGACGCAGCGACGCCGCGUGAGGGAUGACGGCCUUCGGGUUGUAAACCUCUUUCAGUACAGACGAAGCGCAAGUGACCGG